rnacentral:lncRNA from 1 species
CUUUCAAGCCAUUUUUCCUGUGCAAUAUUAUUCCGCAUGUUGUAAGAAUGACACAAAAGAAACUUUGCCAAGGAUUCUAUCCAGGCCCAGAUAACUGUCAAGACCAAUUAUAGAAGCUUGCCAUUCUGCUCUUUUGGAGAGAUGCUGACUUCUUCCUUAUCAAGUGAGGAUUAACACAAUUUGAAGUGUAAGAGGCCAGACUGUCAGUUGCAGAGAAGAGCAGAAGAGGAGGACAAGAACAUUCUUAUGGAUCUGAUUGAAUAUCAU